AAAUAGGUUUAAAAGCAAAUCACAAAAUCAUAGACUUAAAAUAAAAUUAUCAUGUCGAGAUCUUUCUUUAGUCAAUGUAUAAGCCGGCCUCGCAAUCUAUAUUUUCCCAGGCGGCUUUCUUGGAUUCUUCCUUAUCAUUUCUAGCCUCAUUGGCUUCAGGAAGUAUCAUCUCACUAUCUCGUUGCUCAAUGUAUCUUUUCUGAAGUUUCUCAAAUCGACUAAUAGUAUCUUUAAGUUUCUGCUCUCUUUGCUUGAUUGCAAAUAGGUAUGACAAUAGGUCAUUAUAGGUUAUAAAACCCUUAGCCUUAUGUGAUAACAAUACAUCCUUUGGAUGGAAUGUGGAGUAUGUUUUAUAUAAUAAAUCAUCAUAUGUUACCACUUCACCACAUAGUUCAAGACUAUGGGCGAUUAGAGCAGAAUUAUAUUCUUCCAAGGAUUCAAAAUCCUAGAACCUGAGAAGCUUCCAUUCAUUCAUGGUCUUUCACUAAAAUAUCAUUGAGUAUCUGGAUUCUAGUCUUGUCCAAAGUUCACAAGGAUCCUAUAUAUUUUCAUACUGAUUUCUCAGUUCCUUAGUGAGAUGGUAGCGCAUAAUUGUUAUGGCUCUAUGCUUUUCACUUUCAAUUGCAUUAUUGCCUUCAAUGAUACAUCUCCUGAGUCCUCUAGACUUCAGGGCAAUUGAAGUGUUCAUUUUCCAUUCUUGAUAAUUAUCUCCAGAGAGAUUUAGGGAAGCAUAAUCCGAAGGCUCAAAUCUCGACAUCUGAAAUCAUUUAAUCAAUUUAUGAUUUAUAACUCUUGCAACCAAUUCAAAUAAUCAGUGCAUAUGAUUUCAUAAGUAUAUCUAUGAUACUUAGGCCAUACGGCUUUGCAUUUGUGAUGCUUAUACCUCACGGCCAUUAUAAGAUACAACGAUCUUAAGGAUCGGAUCAUAAUGCAAUCCGGUUUAUUAAACCAUCCGGAUACUAGGCUACACGGUCACUUUGAUAUUCACUAAGCCACACGGCUUUUAAUCAAUCAAGGGCACAAGGCCGCAAGUAUGAACAAUGUAUUAGGCCACACGACCAUAUACAAAACGGGAUCUAGAUGCAUUCAAUUCUAUUUCUUAGUUGCAUAUCUAUUAAGUUUUACCAAUUUCAAGGUUGGUAAUAUUAGAUUUUAGAAUCAAGCACUCUAGCAACCUAACUCUCAUUCAAAACAAUAUUAAACUUUCAAUCUUUAAAGUUUAAGGUUUCAAGACCUUUAGGAUUUUAAAUUCGAGAUUAGGAUUUCAGUUUAAACAAGAUUUAGAUUCAAGUUUUAAAACAAUACUAAUCAUAGCUCUAGGCGAUCAAUCAAACACUCAAGUUUCAAAUCAAAAUUAAAAACCGAUUUUCCAAAAUUAGGGUUUUAGGGGAUUUCGAAAACUUUGAUCUUUGAUCAAGGGGAUUUGAUUUGAGAUUCAAAAACCUUUAAGGUUCUGAUUUUAAUUGAUCAAUGGAUCAAUCUCGUUUUUAGGUUUUAGAUCGAACUUAUAGAGCUUCGAUUUACUCAUAGGGGAUUGAUCUAUUUAACCUAUGGCUUUCAGUUUUAGAGAUUAUCUUUUAGGAUUUCAAUCUUUACAAAACAACCAGGUUUGAUUCAUGUUCUCAGAUUAAGUCUGUACCUUUGUUUUUGCAGGUCUGAACCGGACCACCAAAGAUCAGAGACGAGCUGAGACGAACGGACGCGGGACGGCUCCUAUCGGGUCGCGUUGCCGAGAGCUAUCGCGAGCUUGUUUCUUCUUGCGGACGGUUGCGUCUGGUCGGGGAUUUGGUCUGAGUUGUAAGCUGAGCUGAGGCUGAGGACGUUGAUCACGGACAGGGAACGCCUGAAGCUGAGCUUGAUCGGAGUUGAGCUUGAUCGGAGUUUGCAAGCCGGAACGCAAGCAAGAACAGUUUAGGGUUCUUCGGGAUUAGGGUUCCAAAAGAUCAAGACGGCGCCGCGUAUUGUUUCUGCGAAUGUGGGCGCGUCUGAGAUCGGAUCGAAGAACGCUGAUGGAUUCGUCUCGUCAAGAGCUUCAAGAUGAUAUGUGGCUCGUCGUCUGGUUCCUCAGGGUUUGAGAGAUAGAUCGAUUUUAGGUUGCGCCUGAUUUAGGAUUUAUGUGUGACGGAUUUAGGUUAGGUUUUGUCUCAGGAUUUUGGAGUCUAUCGUGCUGAUAACGUGUUAUAAUUAGAGAGUUUAGAGACUGAAUAUUUAUGUGUAUAUUAAUGAACAAUGGGGGUUCCUUAUAUAAGGAUUACAAGAUAAAGAUAAAUGGAAAGACUACAUAUCCUAAUCCAACAGGAAAUAGGAAAACUACUAAAACAUAGAAAAGGAAAACAUCCUAAGUUCUAAGUCGGCUAGGUCAUUGACCGUCUCUCUCUCCUCCUUGCGGCCGCGGCUGGGCUUGAUGUGGCCGACGAACUUUCUCCUCUUGUCUUGGUUAAUGGCAAUCCACUCCAUGAUUUAUAACACCUAUACCUUUGUCAUUAAAAUCAUAAUAAAAAUCUGACCGAACUAUAAGGUACACUCCAUCCUUUACAAGAUCGAACUUCUGUCUGUUAAAAUGAAAAAUCUCCUUCGAUGUCUCAUGUUAACUUUAUAGUUUUCAUAGCUUCUCUUUGAUAAUGGAGAAUGUAAGAUAUAUUUUCCCAUUACAUGUCUUCUCUUCCUGAAACAAAAAUACAAGAUGUCAAAACACUUGUUCAUAUCAAGACCAUGACAUUGUUAAAUAGCUAGACCCCCAUAGAAAUGACCCAAUCAUAACAUGUUCAUCACAUAAGCUAUAUUACGAUCAUACUCUCACCUCAAUGCUAUUAAAAUGUUUUGAUAUACAUUUUAUUAAAAUGAUUCCUGUAAUGUUAAAAUGAUAAGAUUAGUUGCUAAUUAACAAAUAAUUAAAUUAAAAAAAAUUGUUCAUAUAUAUUGUUGAAAACGUUGUUUUAAAAUUUUAAAUUCACUAACUAUCUAAUCUAUUAAAACAAAAGUACAUUUAGUACUUAACCCUAAUUUUUUCUAAAUAAUUAUAAUCUAAUGCCAUUGGACUUAUACACGGUCGUUUUGUAACAUUACUUUACCCUCUAUUUUUUUCUUCUUGAUUUUGCUUCGUCUUCUUCGGGUCGCUAUAUCUCCAAAUUAUUCUUGAUUCUUCAGCAGGAGAUGGAAACUCUCUACGCCAAGCUCUACGACAAAUACACACUUUCAAGAAGAAGAAGUUUUCGGAAUUGGACGAGGUUAAUAGGAAACAAGAAGAGCAUCAAUGCCACUCCGAAUCCCUAAGCUUCCUUGUAAACAUUUGGAAUUAUCCUCAGAGGCGUUGACACAACAUUUGAGAAGUGAAAACCAGAAUUUAACGGAGAACAUGGAGAGAUUGAGGAAUGAGAUAGCUGAAAUCAGUCAUGUAGACCAGGGACGAGGAGCGUCUGGAAUCUCAAAAGUGUCUUGUGGAAGAAGAACGAAAGAACAAGGCACUUUCCCAGCAAGUUGAGAAACUAAAAGAGCUGAUAUCAGAGGGAGUUCCUCACAAUAACAAAAAUCAAAGUGGAAGAAUACGAAAGACUCCUAAAUCUCCUCAAGUUACAACAAGAUGCAUGAGGAACCGUAGCAGGCAGACUGAGGAUAUGGUGGAAACGGACACGGUAUCACCUACGAGAAGCAUGACGAAACAUAGCAGGCAGACAGAGGAUAUCAUGGAAACGGAUGUGGUAUCACCUCAUAUUAUAUUAGCAUACGUCACAUAUCAACAACGAUAAAACAAAUUGACUUAAGCUGAAUCAUCUUCUUUAAGUGAGUCAUCAAAAUUUUGCUUACUAAUACUAUUUUCUUGCUUUUGUUUCAUGGAAACUCUCUUGGUUGCUGAACCACAAUUCUGUAAAACAACUGACUAUGGAUCAAGUAAUCUGCUGGUUAUCCAUUUCAAGCUCUUGGGGAACACUUGACAGGAAUGAAAUUGUCAAAAAUUAAUAAAGACAAACGAGUCUGCAUUGUUGCCUCCCAUCCAUCAAGCGGUCAUUUUGUUUUUUGGCACAUAGUUAUGUCAUUGUAUAGUUAUGCGGGUUGUUCUCACGUAAAAAAUACACUUUAGAUCAUCAGCCACCAGAAAAGCACCAAUUUUGAAUCU